UUUUGGGCACUGGGCGAGUUUGCAGGCGGAGGGCGUUUUCUAGGACCAGGUUCCCGGCUAUGCAGUAUUUUCCCCCGCUCUCGUUUCCCAUUAGCCUCCGUAUCCACACACACGUCGGACUCUGGGGUCCUUUUCCACUGCCCUCGAGUUCUUGGACGAGAGACUUAGACUGUAGCUUCCUGGCCAUCAUGUUGACCAAAGGAGAAUCUUGACAGUGAAGAUGUCUCAUUGUAUUUCUGAGUGACAGCUACAGCAUGAUCCAGAGCUGGUAGGAAUACUGUGUUUCAGGCCCAGCUGAUUUUCUAUAUCUGGCUUUUCUGGAUUUUGUGCUUCAUCAAUAGAGGAGCCCCAAGGAGCAUUAAUUUGUUCUUGCAAGUCUAGAACCAUGACAGAUGAAUUGGUGACGUUCAAGGAUGUGGCCAUCAACUUCUCUCCAGAGGAGUAGGAAUGCUUGGAGCCUGCCCAGAGGGACUUGUAUGUGGAUGUGAUGUUGGAGAACUACAGCAACUUGUUGUCACUGGAUUUGGAGUCAACAUAUGAAACCAAAAAUGUAUUUUUUGG